AAAAACGUCCAGUUUAUUUCGUUGUGUCGCAAAUCACCCUUUACGGCAAUAUUUUUCGUCAAUUGGACGACGCUUUGCGUGUGGAAGGAAAUUUGCAACACAAACAAACAUGGAGGAGUGUUAACGUGACAUAGAGCUCGUACUUAAAAGAGGGGCUACUUCGGUCGCAUGGACGUGGUUUGGGUAUGAAAAGUCAGACACUAACCAGAAAACCGUCCUCUCCCGACAACAGGCUCAAACACCACUAACCUAUUUUACCACCUACGCAAGAAUCAUGUGAAACAGUACGGAGAGUCUACGGAUGAGACCCAAGAAAGUACAGUCGAGUGCUCAAAACAAACCUCUGACUCAGACGUUGCAAGAGGUUUUUGCCCGCGGCACACCAUAUUGCAAAGAAUCACGAAGAUGGAACGAGAUAACAGCUGCCAUUACAACUUACAUCUGCAAAGACGUAGCCCCAAUUUACACGGCCGAGAAACGGGGGUUUCGUGAGUUGGUGCUAGACCCAAGCUCCAAGGCAUAGCGAUUGGUCUCUACCAUGUCUCCCACCAGCUCCUCUGUCAGAAACAACUUGAAGCACUGCCUCAGAUGGAAAUGGCAAGGGGCUUUGCACUCCAGACUGGGACUCAUCAACGCAAACAGCAGGGCCAGGAGGGUGCAAUGGCUAGCAGCCUUCCAGCUACCACAGAACUCCUGUACUUCAUCCACUAUCGGUCUGCCUCCAUCACCACCAGCAUCUUCAAAUUGAACUAGGACUUUGUCAGUGGACAAGGGUCCUCAGAUUCAGGGUUCUCAAUGGCUGGGGGGCAGCUCCUCACUGUUAGAAUCUGAUUCCUGACUUUCAGACUCAUUGUCAGAAUUUUUUUAAAUCUCCAGAAUUUCCACAUUUGUGAGUUGUCUCCUUUUGAAAGACAUUGCUAAUGCUACAGCUUAGCUCAUUAGCUAUAUACAUAAACAACAACACUGAAUGGCUCAGAGUGGGAGUGAUAGGUUACAUGAUUGACUGCCUGCACGCGCCAUUUGUAUUAAUAAAUCACAAUCAGAAAAUGUUGUGUGGUAUUAUUGAUAUAUUUACUAUUUUAUUCACGUUUAUCAAUUACCGUAAAUUCCGGACUAUAAGCCGCAACUUUUUUCCCACGCUUUGAACAUCGCGGCUUAAACAAUGACGCGGCUAAUAUAUGGAUUUUUCCCGCUUUCAAUUUUUUUCUGCCAAAAAAACACAUUCUGUGAUGUGCUCAGUUUUUUGGCGGCAUGAAGCUUUCAUUAGACCAAUGAAAUUGCCGAACGGGUUAAGGUCAAACAACUUUUUUGUUUACUGUUUAGAUUAAAUCGAGCGCUCUCAAACUUCCCAUGAUUCUGAUUAUGGUAGUCAUUUUGUCACCCUCAUCAUGGAGAAAUGCAUAUGAUGCAGCUUUCAAGUUGAAGGCGAUUGAUCUGGCUGUUGGAAAAGGAAAUAGAGCUGCUGCACGGGAGCUUGGUCUUAAUGAGUCGAUAAGACGUUGGAAACAGCAGCGUGAGGAAUUGACUCGGUGCAAAAAGACAACUAAAGCUUACUGGUCAUUUUUUAUUUUUUGUUACAAGCCGUGUUUCGUUAAGGCCUAUUUAUUUUUGUUACAAGCCGUGUUUCGUUAAAGCCUGUGUAAAGUUCAUUUUUUUCAAUGUACCGGUAGGCACCUGCGGCUUAUAGACAUGUGCGGCUUAUUUAUGUUCAAAAUAAUACUUUAAAAAAAAUUCAGUGGGUGCGGCUUAUAUUCAGGUGCGCUUAAUAGUCCGGAAAUUACGGUACCGGUGAUAAAUCGCGUAAGAGCCGCGGCUUUUGUGGCGCGAUGGGAAACGAUGCUUCGUGGGUGUCAGUUGUUGAUGUGUGCAGAGGGUCCCUGGUUCGAGCCCAGGUAGGGGUGAGGAGAGGGACGGAAGAAACUGUUACAUUUGCAUAGAUUGUAAUGGGCACAUAGUAUGUGUGUAAAAUAAUUUUUUGAAGGUUGUACUGAUUGAUGAGCUAAGCUAAUUCCAGCUAUGUGUGGAGCCAGGUUUGUUGACAUACAAUGCAUUCUGGGUUUCACGUGAUCGUCUGUCUGACCAAAGAUGCUGUAAGUCGCUCUGGAUAAGAUUGUCUGCUAAAUGACUUAAAUGUAAAUGUAAUAACAAAAUGAGGUGAGUAAGGGUUCACUCAUUUUUUGAGAACUUCAGGAAGUGAAUGGUGGGAUGUGAACGAUGGUAGACGAUGCUGCACGCUGAAACUAAUCUUCGGAUUACUUUCGAUUUCUAGAAAGUGUUUUACUCACCCGUGAUGUGAUUACUUAUACAUAGUAAUUGCUAUUAGCUAAUUCAUAUUGUAGUUUAUGUCAGCCGAGAGUUAGAAAAUAUGACCACUUGUGUUGCAUCAAUCUUUCCUUAGUUAGCGCUAGGACAAAUGUAGACUAAAAAUAAACUGCUCACAUUCUGGACAUAACUUUGUAAGUACUGUGUUUGUGUAAAUUUCUGGAAAAAAGUGUGGCCAGCUCAAAUGCUGAUUGUUGCGUUAUUCGAAACUGGCCGUUCUAAAUGAGCUUUCUAGUCAUCGUACGCUUCAGGGACCACUGUAGAACGAUCACACCCGUGUGAUGGUACGUGUGAACGGGUUAAGGGAUUAAAGAUUUAAUUUAAGUACAACUCUGA